ACACUCAGUAUUUGCUAGGAUCACCAGAGGGGUGCGGCUUGACUUUUAACAGAGGCUUUGGUUUUAUGAUAGACAUGAAAACUGUCAUUCAACAGACAAGAAGAGACGUGUGUGUAAGAUUAAAGGCUGAGUAGCUUUAGGACAAGUUCACACACACAGUGACACAGUCUUCAGAGAUACAGCUUUAAUAAUUAGAGACUUGAAAGCAGGUAGAACAAAACACUCAUGAGACUCAUUCCAUCGUCAAGAAAUUUAAUAUGGCACCAGGAGAUUUGCAUAAUUGACCUAUUUGGCUUUCUGCAUCAAGUUUGGUGUCCUGUUGCAGAAGCUGAGCAUUGACGGGACAGAGGCAUAAACUGCAGCGCUUGAUAAAAUAGAGCCCAGUAUUCUGAGGUUAGUGAAGAAAACACAAAGACUUGACAGAUGCACUCCCAGAUCGCAUCUCACAGUCAUUCAAGGUUUAGGGCAAGGCAUUUCCAUGUGGAGUCUCACCUUUUCUUGUCCCAGUCAUGCAUCUUGGAGUUCCUUGGCUAAGUCUGCAGGGAGGAGAAGCAGCAGGCUUGAUUUGCAUCAAUAAAAGCAGCGAUCUGUGCUGGCCAUGCUAACCCUGUUGGCUAUUAGGGGGUGGGGGCACUCUGUCAAGGGGAGUCACUGGGACGGUGUAGGAUCAGCCUUCAGAGCCUGCUGCCUGACCGUAGAGGAGGAACCUGCACACACCCUGCUGUUUUAGUUCACGAGCAGCUAUCAAAGCCUGUUAGCCAUCCUGGUUACCUGCUUGUGCCAGACAGAACUUACUGUCCCAGGUAAGCACCUAAUUUUUUAAGUCUUAGUUCCUGUCACAGGCCCACUUGGGUUCCAG
rnacentral:lncRNA from 1 species